GAUGAAGAACGUAGCAAAAUGCGAUACUUGGUGUGAAUUGCAGAAUCCCGUGAACCAUCGAGUUUUUGAACGCAAGUUGCGCCCGAAGCCUUUUGGCCGAGGGCACGUCUGCCUGGGCGUCACGCAUCGCGUCGCCCCCCACAAUUCUCCGUAAAGGGAACAUGUGUUUUGGGGGCGGAUAUUGGUCUCCCGUGCUCAUGGCGUGGUUGGCCGAAAUAGGAGUCCUUUCGAUGGACGCACGAACUAGUGGUGGUCGUAAAAACCCUCGUCUUUUGUUUCGUGCUGUUGCUCGCAAGGUAAACUCUUAAAAAACCCAAUGUGUCGUCUCUUGACGAGGCUUCGACCGCGACCCCAGGUCAGGCGGGACUACCCGCUGAGUUUAAGCAUAUCAAUAAGCGGAGGA
rnacentral:misc_RNA from 1 species